GAGUUUGAUCCUGGCUCAGGAUGAACGCUGGCGGCGUGCUUAACACAUGCAAGUCGAACGAGAAUCCAGUGAAGGAGUUUUCGGACAACGGAUCUGGAGGAAAGUGGCGGACGGGUGAGUAACGCGUGAGCAAUCUGCCUUGGAGUGGGGAAUAACGGUUGGAAACAGCCGCUAAUACCGCAUGAAACAGCUGAGUCGCAUGGCUCUGGCUGUCAAAGAUUUAUCGCUCUGAGAUGAGCUCGCGUCUGAUUAGCUAGUUGGCGGGGUAACGGCCCACCAAGGCGACGAUCAGUAGCCGGACUGAGAGGUUGGCCGGCCACAUUGGGACUGAGACACGGCCCAGACUCCUACGGGAGGCAGCAGUGGGGAAUAUUGGGCAAUGGGCGCAAGCCUGACCCAGCAGCGCCGCGUGAAGGAAGAAGGCUUUCGGGUUGUAAACUUCUUUUCUGGGGGACGAACAGAUGACGGUACCCCAGGAAUAAGCCACGGCUAACUACGUGCCAGCAGCCGCGGUAAUACGUAGGUGGCAAGCGUUAUCCGGAUUUAUUGGGUGUAAAGGGCGUGUAGGCGGGAAUGCAAGUCAGAUGUGAAAACUAUGGGCUCAACCCAUAGCCUGCAUUUGAAACUGUAUUUCUUGAGUGCUGGAGAGGCAAUCGGAAUUCCGUGU
rnacentral:rRNA from 1 species